ensembl:lncRNA
UUACGGUAUAUAAUCAAAUAGCUGGACUCAGAGCCCUCGGAGGUAAACACUCUGGCCUGAACAUUAUUCUUCUGCGACCUCUUGAUAAACAUUCUCAGUGAGGUGUCUAAUAACAGGAAGAGUUCUUCUUCAGCAUAGUGAGGUGUCUAAUAACAGGAAGAGUUCUUCUUCAGCAUAGUGAGGUGUCUAAUAACAGGAAGAGUUCCUCUUCAGCACAGUGAAGUGUCUAAUAACAGGAAGAGUUCUUCUUCAGCACAGUGAAGUGUCUAAUAACAGGAAGAGUUCUUCUUCAGCACAGUGAAGUGUCUAAUAACAGGAAGAGUUCUUCUUCAGCACAGUGAGGUGUCUUCUGGAUGAUGUGCAAG